rnacentral:rRNA from 1 species
CCCUUAGAUGCUCUGGGCCGCACGCGCGCUACACUGGUCGAUGCAACGAGUUUCUUUCCUUGGCCGACAGGCCUGGGCAAUCUUUGAACAUCGAUCGUGAUCGGGAUAGAUUCUUGUAAUUUUUGAUCUUAAACGAGGAAUUCCUAGUAAACGCAAGUCAUCAGCUUGCAUUGAUUACGUCCCUGCCCUUUGUACACACCGCCCGUCGCACCUACCGAUUGAAUGGUCCGGUGAAAUCUCCGGACUGGCGUGAGUCGGAGCAAUCUGACAAACACCGGAAAGUUGAUUAAACCUUACCAUUUAGAGGAAGGUGAAGUCGUAAC